AUGCAAGUCGAAGAAGGAUUGGCCCAACCUGAGAAACUUGAGGCCAAAGUGAGUGCUGACAGCGCGAGAUUUCAGUCUCUCAUCGAUUUGUUCAUACCAACCAUCGACAGCGAGCACGACAUAUGUUACACCCAACCUGAGAAACUUCCAGGCAAGACACCGAUCGGCCGUCUACUUGCACAAACAUAUUCCUUUGUUUAUAGCUCUAUUUUUCUUUUUACACGCAUACCUGGUAUCACACUGAGUGGCCUAAGGAAGCAUUUCUUCCAGCACAAUUACAGGGCUUUCAAAAGGGGUGCGUGGACGCGUCGCAAGAUACAGUCGGAGUGCGGCAUGCACGCGAUGUGGCACAAGACCGGCAAUACCUUGCCGGUGAUGGUUAAUGGCCGGCAGACGGGCAGCAAAAAUGGUUCUGGUGCUGCACACCAACAAGAACUUCGACCAGCAGAGGACCAACUGGGUGAUGCACUAGUACCACCUCGGGGACCUGGAGCAAGAGAAGGAGCGGGAGCUGGUCGAGCAAGUUUCAACUGGGCUGUAGAUUGCCAGGGUUGUUUUGUUUUAACAGGCCGAGCCCAUGAAGACAACGGGGCACAAAGAUCCAGCAGAGAUCUACUGGGCACAUGGGCCCUAGUGGCCUCGGUGCACACACGGCCUAGCCCACCUCGUUCCAUCCCCUCCUCUCGCUACAGAGGACGGGGGAGGGCGUGGCGGCCAUCCGCGGGCCAUGGCUGCGCCAGGCCGUCCGUGGCGCCAUCCCCGACCUCCUCGACGCCUUCAAGGCAUCCCCGCGCCCCCCAAACCCUAGCAAACCCUAGACCUCUCCCUUCUCCUCCCUCGCGUCGUUCUCUCCUCCGCAACAUACAACCGAACAGUGCCCUCCAUGGCCGCCGUCGUCGUCAUGGCCACCAGCCUCCCUGUCGCCUAAGAAGAUGUCCAGGAGGACCACCACCCUCGACUCCGUCUAUCCCGAGCAUUGAAUCGAGCCGGAACGUCUCAAACGCUAGCCAUCAACUUGGUCAUCUCCGCGUACAUCAUCUCCGUCCGCCGUCAAUUGCCGCUACUCCAGUCCAUCCCCGACGCACCUCCGAGCACACUGACUUGCCCUGCAGCCCCAUUGUGAGCUCCCUUCGAUUUCCCCUUUGUUUUCCCGUCGAUUUUGUGCCGUACUACCGAAGCCUACAAGCACCGAGCUUCGUCGUCCGCCAUGGCCGGACCUCACCGUGGCCGCACCCGCGCUCUUGCGUGCACCUACCCGAACCCAUCACGCGCACCCUGGCCGCGACAGGCCGUGCACCGGCCGUCCCCUGUCCUCACCCCGCUGCUCCCGUCGUCGUGCGUUGCGCCCGCAACUGCUACUUUUCGCCGCUGCCUGCUGCGCUGAACUGCUUGUGCCGCUGCUCUCUGCUGCUGUUUAUUACUGUUGUAUCUGCUAAUUGUUGUUACUGCUGCUUCGUGCUUAGGCCGCUGCUACGCUGCUCUGUUGCUGGUACUACUGCUGCCCACUACCACCGGCAGCUGCUGCUACUAGCCAUGGCCACGGCCAUGGCCAAGUGUGUUGUGUGUGCUCGACCCAUUCUGGAUCAAGGCAACAACCACGAUCGAGGCAGCCACCUCGCCCGAGCCUCCUUCCAGGGAAGCCGAGGACCACCUCGUCCCCAACCAGCGUCGCCCCCGGUGGCCAUCAGCCGCCUCUUUGGCACGCCCCUGCGCCACGAGCGUCUGAGGCCGCAGCCUCCUCGUCCAGGACCACUCCACCAUCGCCUCCGGUUGCCUCACCAGAGCAAGCUCCACCGGCGACUAGAGCCACCUCGUGUCGCGGCCUCCUCUAUUUCUCCUUGCACCCGAGACCUCAUCCCCGCCGACAACCACGACCAGGCCGUCACCCUCACAUGCGGCCCUUCUUCUCCUUCCCUGCCUUCUACUCUCUCUACUCUAAUCUUUCCCUCUCUCUCUCUCUCUCCUUCUCCUUCUCCUGCUUCCGUAGGAACCAAAGGAGCUCUGCCCCGACGCCAUGGACAGGAGUCGCCGCUCCCAAGUUCUAGCUCGUGCGGGCUCGCCAAGUCCCAAGCCGCGCUAGAUCUGGAGGGGAUCACCGUUGCUGCGCCUUUUCCCGACCCCCACGACCUCCUCCGGCCUCGUUCCCGUCAAAGGCCGCCGUCGUCGCUCUGGGAACCAGGAGCUCAAGCCCCUCCGUGGCCGCGCCCGACAUGUGUGACCCCGCCAACCGGAUCUGCUCAUCCCCGUUGUUCCCGCGCCGCCACACCGCCCUUGCAACUCUCGUCGGCCGCCGCUGAUGUCUCUGCUUCAUGCACGCGUCGGUCAAACCACUCGCCCGACCCCUCCUGCCUCCCGCGGCACUCGAUCCAUUCUGGAUCGAGGCAACAACCACGAUCGAGGCAGCCACCUCGCCCGAGCCUCCUUCCAGGGAAGUCGAGGACCACCUCAUCCCCAACCAGCAUCGCCCCCGACCGCCAUCAGCUGCCUGCUUUGGGCACCCCUGUGCCACGAGUGUCUGAGGCUGCAGCCUCCUUGUUUAGGACCACUCCACCAUCGUUUCCGGUUGCCUCGCCGGAGCAAGCUCCACCGGCGACCAGAGCCACCUCGAACCAAUGGAGCUCUGCCCCGACACCAUGGACAGGAGUCGCCGCUCCCAAGUUCCACCUCGUGUGGGCUUGCCAGGUCCCAAGCCACACCGGAUCUGGAGGGGAUCACCGCCGCCGCGCCUUUUCUCGAUCCCCACGACCUCCUCUAGCCCCGUUCCAGUCGAAGGCCACCGUCGUCGCUCUAGUUCGGCGUGACCAGUUCGUUUGCCUCAUGUCUCGUCCUCGUUGCAGGGAGGAGGAACGCCCGCGCCCAGUCCGUCUUCGAGCCAAGCCGCCGCACUGGAGCUUCUUUACUGUCCAGGAACCAGGAGCUCAAGCCCCUCCGUGGCCGCGCCCGACCUGCGCGACCCCGCCGACUGGAUCUGCUCAUCCCCGCCAUUGCCGUGCCGCCACACCGCCGUUGCAACUCCCGUCGGUCGCCGCUAAUGUCUCUACUUCACACACGCGUCGGUCAAACCACUGGCUCGACCCCUCCUGA
rnacentral:rRNA from 1 species